rnacentral:rRNA from 1 species
AUGACCAAGGCCAAGUUGGUGUUCGAUGUGACGGUUGAGGAGAUGUCUCUUCAUAGAGUAAUGAGACAGUUCGGUCUAUAUCAAGAGCCUGAGAUUCCAAAAAUUCCACAGUUGCCAGAGCACGUGCACAAGGACAGUCGCCUAGGAGGAAACAAGUCCAUGGAUUACUGGCUUAAGAGCAUUACCCCUUACGUUGACGAAUGGACUACCGCUGCGACAAAUACCUGGGGUGAGGGUCGGGCCUUUAACUGGCAAAUGUUCGGGUUGUAUCUGCAGCGUUACCGGCAUACAACAAGGAUCUACUUGGUUCCAUCAGCUGCUCCUGAUCAGAUCGAAGCCCCUCUCACCAGCGAUAUGUACCCAACUGCCUCUGUUGUGGGAACCAGACACCACGCGGUAAAUGCCUUGGUUCUUAUAUGUUGA